ACAGGGAGACAGGUGGUGCAUGGUUGUCGUCAGCUCGUGUCGUGAGAUGUUGGUUAAGUCCCGCAACGAGCGCAACCCCUACGUUUAGUUGCUAACGCGUGAAGGCGAGCACUCUAGACGAACUGCCGUUGACAAAACGGAGGAAGGUGGGAUGACGUCAAAUCAUCAUGCCCCUUAUGUUCUGGGCUACACACGUGCUACAAUGGCCGGUACAGACGGACGCAAAGCCGCGAGGUGGAGCAAAUCCUAAAAAGCCGGUCUCAGUUCGGAUUGCAGGCUGCAAUUCGCCUGCAUGAAGUCGGAAUCGCUAGUAAUCGCAGGUCAGCAUACUGCGGUGAAUACGUUCCCGGGCCUU
rnacentral:rRNA from 1 species